rnacentral:rRNA from 1 species
UACAGAGGUCUCAAGCGUUGUUCGGAUUCACUGGGCGUAAAGCGUGCGCAGGCGGUUCGCCAAGUCAGGUGUGAAAUCCCCGGGCUUAACCUGGGAAUUGCGCUUGAAACUAGCGGGCUUGAGUGUGGCAGAGGGGGGUGGAAUUCCACGUGUAGCAGUGAAAUGCGUAGAGAUGUGGAGGAACACCGAUGGCGAAGGCAGCCCCCUGGGUCAACACUGACGCUCAUGCACGAAAGCGUGGGGAGCAAACAGG